UGCGGUUAAACAAAAGUUAAAUUAAAUUUUUUUGAGGUUUAAUAAUUAAAAUUAUUUAAAUAAAAUAAAUAUUAGAUUAUUAAGUGAAAUUUUAAUUUAUUUAAAAUUUAUUUAAUUUUUAAGACAUUAAUAAAUUUUAUUUAAAACUAGGAUUAGAUACCCUACUAUUAAAAUUUAAAAUUAAAAUCUUAAAAUAGUAUAUAUGUAUUUAUAAUUUAAAUUAUAUUUAUAUUGAAACUUAAAUAAUUUGGCGGUAUUUUAGUUCAUUUAGAGGAAUCUGUUUAAUAAUUGAUAAUCCACGAAUAAAUUUACUUAAUUUAUAUAAUUUUGUAUAUCGUUGUUAUAAAAAUAUUUUUUAGUAAAAAUAAUAUUUUAAAUUUUAUAUGUAAAGUUAAAUCAGAUCAAGAUGCAGAUUAUAAUUAAGAAUAUUAAUGGAUUACAAUAAACUUUAUUUUUGGAUGUUAAUAUUGAAAGUUAAUUGAAAUUGGAUUUAAAUGUAAUUUUAUUUAUAUUUUUAAAAUGAUUAAAAAUUAAAAUAUGUACAUAUUGCCCGUCGCUUUCAUAUAUAAGUUGAAAUAAGUCGUAACAAAGUAGAGGUACUGGAAAGUGUUUCUAGAAAGA
rnacentral:rRNA from 1 species